GAUGAACGCUGGCGGCGUGCCUAAUACAUGCAAGUCGAGCGAAUGGAUUAAGAGCUUGCUCUUAUGAAGUUAGCGGCGGACGGGUGAGUAACACGUGGGUAACCUGCCCAUAAGACUGGGAUAACUCCGGGAAACCGGGGCUAAUACCGGAUAACAUUUUGAACCGCAUGGUUCGAAAUUGAAAGGCGGCUUCGGCUGUCACUUAUGGAUGGACCCGCGUCGCAUUAGCUAGUUGGUGAGGUAACGGCUCACCAAGGCAACGAUGCGUAGCCGACCUGAGAGGGUGAUCGGCCACACUGGGACUGAGACCCGGCCCAGACUCCUACGGGAGGCAGCAGUAGGGAAUCUUCCGCAAUGGACGGAAGUCUGACGGAGCAACGCCGCGUGAGUGAUGAAGGCUUUCGGGUCGUAAAACUCUGUUGUUAGGGAAGAACAAGUGCUAGUUGAAUAAGCUGGCACCUUGACGGUACCUAACCAGAAAGCCACGGCUAACUACGUGCCAGCCGCCACCGUAA
rnacentral:rRNA from 1 species